UUAUACAGCGAAACUGCGAAUGGCUCAUUAUAUAAGUUAUCGUUUAUUUGAUAGUACCUUACUACUUGGAUAACCGUGGUAAUUCUAGAGCUAAUACAUGCUAAAAAUCCCGACUCACGAAGGGAUGUAUUUAUUAGAUUAAAAACCAAUGCCCUUCGGGGCUCACUGGUGAUUCAUAAUAACUUCUCGAAUCGCAUGGCCUUGCGCCGGCGAUGGUUCAUUCAAAUUUCUUCCCUAUCAACUUUCGAUGCUAGAGUAGUGUUCUAGCAUGGUUACAACGGGUAACGGAGGGUUAGGGCUCGACCCCGGAGAAGGAGCCUGAGAAACGGCUACUACAUCCAAGGAAGGCAGCAGGCGCGCAAAUUACCCAAUCCCGACACGGGGAGGUAGUGACGAUAAAUACUGAUACAGGGCUCUUUUGGGUCUUGUAAUUGGAAUGAGUACAAUUUAAAUCCCUUAACGAGGAACAAUUGGAGGGCAAGUCUGGUGCCAGCAGCCGCGGUAAUUCCAGCUCCAAUAGCGUAUAUUAAAGUUGUUGUGGUUAAAAAGCUCGUAGUAGAACCUUGGGCCUGGCUGGCCGGUCCGCCUCACCGCGUGCACUGGUCCGGCCGGGCCUUUCCCCCUGUGGAACCUCAUGCCCUUCACUGGGUGUGUGGGAAAACAGGACUUUUACUUUGAAAAAAUUAGAGUGCUCCAGGCAGGCCUAUGCUCGAAUACAUUAGCAUGGAAUAAUAGAAUAGGACGUGUGGUUCUAUUUUGUUGGUUUCUAGGACCGCCGUAAUGAUUAAUAGGGACAGUCGGGGGCAUCAGUAUUCAAUUGUCAGAGGUGAAAUUCUUGGAUUUAUUGAAGACUAACUACUGCGAAAGCAUUUGCCAAGGAUGUUUUCAUUUAUCAGGAACGAAAGUUAGGGGAUCGAAGACGAUCAGAUACCGUCGUAGUCUUAACCAUAAACUAUGCCGACUAGGGAUCGGACGAUGUUAUUUUUUGACUCGUUCGGCACCUUACGAGAAAUCAAAGUGCUUGGGCUCCA
rnacentral:rRNA from 1 species